GAUACACAGAGUGCCUCCUCAUAGCAGGGAGCACGAAACACAGCUGGUUGGUAACAACCCUGGCCUUUUGUGGACAUCAAUAGAGGUCUAAAACAACCACCGGACACGGGGCCAAAGACAAAGCAUCACUGCAGAGGAGGUGCCGAGUGCUCAUUGGCCAUCCUCUCCGCUACGGUCGACCAGGCGAUGUUCCUUGAAGAAAUGAAUCACUUUGUUGAUCAAGAGUUUGAUGAUGUAAUGGAAGCAGCAGGUGCCGGGCUGAAAGGUGAAACCAGACACGACACUGUUGAUGCUGACAGAGAGGGCAGACGGCAUCGUAUCAGUCUGGAGUCCUUUCCCUUCAUCUGUAACUGGUAUGAAAGCACGUAAACAGGGGAAAGCAAACGCUCUGUAGAUAUCCAUCACAUACAGUCCCAGUCAAAGAUCAGCGCUGAUGUAGUAGAGGACGCAAGGGGAGGAACAAGAAGAGAAAGCAAGGAGAGGAAGCAAGGAUAGGAAGCAAGGAGAGGAAGCACAGAGAGGAAGCAAGGAGAGGAAGUCACUUUAGACUAACAAGAUGUAGGCCCUACCCCCAACCUAGUCAUCCGGAGUGUCUUCAGACACUACAGCAGACGACUGGACAUCGAAACCACCAAGGACAGUUUGUGAAAGAGAGAAUUGAACCAGUGGUGCACCAACGAAACCUCCCUAAACAGUCUGUUUUCCUGGAAACCAAUCUAAUAAUGAAGAGGUGGUAAUAGUGUUUAUGGAGAAUGAACAGAAAUGACCAGUGUUACCAGACUGGAAGCAUUUACCAUCAAGGUAAUAAAGCACAGGGCUGUUUAGCUCCCCAACUGUUGAGGUAGCAAAAUAGCUGGUCUCCCAUUCAGUAAUUCAACAACAAUUCCUGUAAAGGUGUUUCGAAGCGGUGUGGUGGGCUGGUGUGAGCCUGGGUGUUGGGUAACCAGGGACCAGCGCAGCGGAGCGGUUUAGCGUCAUUUACACGUGAUAAAAACUGGGCCUUAACUGGAAGCAGCAGGUCUGUCUGGAAUGGGGUUCUCGAGCUGAUAGGCACAGAGGA
ensembl:lncRNA